CAGUAGGGCCCAAAUAGCCUAAAGGCAUCAAAUCCCAUCUGAUCUGGGAAGCUAAGUAGGAUCAGCUCAAUUUAGUACUCGGAUGGGAGACUGCCAGUGAAUACCAGGUGCUUUAGGCU
rnacentral:rRNA from 1 species